UACGGAGGGUGCAAGCGUUAUCCGGAAUCACUGGGUUUAAAGGGUGCGUAGGUGGCUUGGUAAGUCAGAGGUGAAAGCCCAUCGCUUAACGACGGAAUUGCCUUUGAUACUGCCGAGCUUGAAUUAGGUUGAGGUAGGCGGAAUGUGGCAUGUAGCGGUGAAAUGCAUAGAUAUGCCAUAGAACACCAAUUGCGUAGGCAGCUUACUAGACCUAUAUUGACGCUGAGGCACGAAAGCGUGGGGAUCAAACAGG
rnacentral:rRNA from 1 species